rnacentral:lncRNA from 1 species
GGGGACCGAGGCUAUGGGGGGAACCGGUUCGAGUCCAGGAGUGGGGGCUACGGAGGCUCCAGAGACUACUAUAGCAGCCGGAGUCAGAGUGGUGGCUACAGUGACCGGAGCUCGGGCGGGUCCUACAGAGACAGUUAUGACAGUUACGGUAAGUCACACUCCGAGGGCGCCACGCUGCUGUGGCCUGCGGUGGGAGCUCGGUUCACCUUGGUGCCCUCUCCAAGCACUUUAGGCUGGACACUCAGACCUUGUCACUGUGCUUGCCCAGAAGAGGCGCAUCUGUCCUCAGAGCCAUUUCUAUCGCAGGAUGCAAAAGCCAAAUGAGACUGACCAAAAAGGCAAGGGAGAGCGAGGGCCCGCUGGGCAGUCAGCUAGGUGCAUGUGUGGCCACAGGCCAGCCUCCCUCGGCUGUGGGGGGUGGUUGCUCCCCGGCCGCAGGCCGCGCCCUGGUCUGGCCUCUGGGGUGAAGCUGCCUCUCGUUGCUUCGGUGCCUUUACACUGUGCCUGCUUCUUGUCCUCAGCUACACACAACGAGUAAAAACCCUUCCUGCUCAAGAUCGUCCUUCCAAUGGCUGUGUGUUUAAAGAUUGUGGGAGCUUCGCUGAACGUUAAUGUGUAGUAAACGCACCUCCUUGUAUUCCCACUUUCGUAGUCAUUUCGGUUCUGAUCUUGUCAAACCCAGCCUGACCGCUUCUGACGCCGGGAUGGCCUCGUUACUAGACUUUUCUUUUUAAGGAAGUGCUGUUUUUUUUGAGGGGUUUCAAAACAUUUUGAAAAGCAUUUACUUUUUUGACCACGAGCCAUGAGUUUUCAAAAAAAUCGGGGGUUGUGUGGGUUUUUGGUUUUUGUUUUAGUUUUUGGUUGCGUUGCCUUUUUUUUUUUAGUGGGGUUGGCCCCAUGAAGUGGGUGCCCCAUUCACUUCUCUGAGAUCGAACGGACUGUGAAUCCGCUCUGUCGGAAGCUGAGCAAGCUGUGGCUUUUUUCCAACUCCGUGUGACGUUUCUGAGUGUAGUGUGGUAGGACCCCGGCGGGUGUGGCAGCAACUGCCCUGGAGCCCCAGCCCCUGCGUCCAUCUGUGCUGUGCGCCCCACAGUAGACGUGCAGACGUCCCUGAGAGGUUCUUGAAGAUGUUUAUUUAUAUUGUCCUUUUUUACUGGAAGACGUACGCAUACUCCAUCGAUGUUGUAUUUGCAGUGGCUGAGGAAUUCUUGUACGCAGUUUUCUUUGGCUUUACGAAGCCGAUUAAAAGACCGUGUGAAAUGAACCUUGCUCUGACAAUUCCCUUGCAUUGCACCACACACUCCUUGCUGCGGGCUCCUGCAGCCAGACCUGAGCAGAGAGAGAAGGUGGAGAAGCAGUGGGUCUGCAAGCCUUGCCUGGGGCCUGCAGAGCUAGAAAGGGAGGCCCAGCAGACUGGCGCUGGUCAGGGUAGGGGAGCCAGGCGGGGGACGGGAGCGGGCAGCUCAGGCCUCAGGGCAGCCCUGGGAGGCUUCUGGCAGUGGUGGCCAGAGGGCUGGACUGUGCGGGCAGCUUAACAGGGACAGUGGACGUGCACCUGACGCUGACCUGGACUGCCUCAGUCUAGAAGCAGGCCAGAGAGCAGAGGCACGUGGCAUCUCAGGGCGACCUCAGACGGCCAGCCGGUUAGCUAGUUCUGCUGUUGCUUCACGAGUUCUGAGCAUUCUCUGCUAGCCUAUGGAAGCUGCAGCCCUCGGAGGACAGAAGUGUUGUGCGCCCAACAGAACCCUCUGAGACGCAAGCUGCUCCCUUGGCUAGCUCAUAUGUGGAAAUAGCCCUGUAAUUCGAGGUUGAAGGGGCCCGGCCAGGACUCGGGGAAGGGUGGCCUGAGAGCAGCGAUGACCUCUGGGGUCACUGUCCCAGGAGGGACUUCACCUGGAACGAGAGCUGGAGGCAGCCGCUUGCCCAGGAGGCUUGUCCCCUGAGGCGCUUCGCCAGUGAGGUGCGGGCUCAGGGCCUCGAGUCUCUCCUGGAGCACGGGCUGCGGUGCGCUGGCAGCUUACGGGGCGGCCAGUCCUUGCCCACAACGAUGUGGAGCCCUGUGAAAGUCGGAUUCGAAUAAAGGGCCACGUGUGCACCCACAAAGCCAAGUCUGUGGUUCAGGGGGGUCUGUCAGCGGAGCGGGGCCACUGGGAGAAAAGCCUGCGGACCUCGGUUCAGCGCACGAGCAGGACCCGACAAGGAAGACUGCAAGGGUCAUUGUCCGAGCAGUGACCGCGGGGGGCUCGCCAUUGAGGGGGUUCGCAGCGCGGAGACUCCAGUCCCGCGGGAUCUGAGGCGCACUCGGCUUCGGGG